AAACUGGUAUUAACUGAACAGCACCUAAGUGGACACACAGAUAAUAUGAAGAAGGAUGAUAAAACUGAGCCUACAAAGAACAGCCAUGGUUUUAUAGCACAUUCUCUAGCCCUAAAGUGCAACUCCUGGCAUGCAGGAACAUGGAAUUCUGUCCUAAAUUGCCCUGUGAUAUCUUUCAUGACAGCACCACCCAACUUAGAUCCUCAGAGGAAGGCCACGCGCCUUUCAGCUGCCUAGACGAUGGGUGCUGCCUCUGCGGUCAGGGCUCCAGUGUCUCUGCAGAGAAAAGAAGAGGGCUUUGAACAAGGACAGGAGGUGGACAAAAAAGGGAGUCAGGGAUUGUUGGGAAUGCAAAUUAUAUUUGUUCACACAGCCUGUGCGAUCUAACCAUUACUUUUAAAAAUUAAGCAUGCUAUCUUUAAAGGCA